AUUUACAUUUUGUAUUCAUGACACACACCCACACACACACACACACACAGAUUUUAUUUCUCCUUGUAAUAAGCAAACUAUCCAGUCUGAUCCCAAUUUUGCCAAAACACAGAGUUCUCGAAGGUCCUCGAAGACAGGUUCGGAUUCCUCCAGGUCCUCGAAGACAGGUUCGGAUUCCUCCAGGUCCUUGAAGACAGGUUCGGAUUCCUCCCCGUCCUCAAAGAAAGGUUCGGAUUCCUCCAGGUCUUCAAAGACAGGUUCGGGUUCCUCGAGGUCCUCAAAGUCAGGUCUGGUUCGUGCCUCUUCCCCCCGCCAGGUACACAAACAUGAACAUGACGGGGUCAAGGAGGAAUACACACCGACAUAAUACACACUCUAUAUCUGGAGGGUCUCCUGUUUGACUAAUAUUUUUGGUAAAUAUGUAUAUGAUAUAUAUACAGGUUUAUGAGGUAAAACACAUGUCUUUGUUCUGUUUUAAGUUGAGAACAUAUAAAAAAGUGUCCCAACUUUUUUUGACCCGAUGAUGGUGCAAAAUGGAAAAACAGGGGGAUCGCUGAAGUUACUAUCCAGGAACCGUCUUAAGGGGAAUAUGAAUGUCCGAGCCAAAUUUCAUGGCAAGCCAUCCAGUACUUUGUUGAGACAUUUCACUCACAACCCGCAAAUGUCAACUUCCUGGUGGCGCUGAAAGGAAAAGUCGGGUGGGGGGAUAACGAAAGUCAAAGUCAUUAGGAUUCAUCCUCUGGGUGCCAGGAAUGUCUGGAUCAAGUUUCAUGGCAAUCCACCCGAUUAUUGUUGAGACAUUUCAGUGAUUUCUCAGCUAGGGGGUCGGUAGAGUUUAACAUGCAUGUGAAAGUGUGUGGGCAGCAUACAAUUUCCCUCUCUCUUUACGGACUUGGUGUCAGCUACUGAAAAGUAUUUUCAACGUACGUAAUAGAGGCCCCAUUUUUCUACAAAGGAAACCAAAGCCUCUCCCUUUGCGGUCUGACAGAAGAUCCAUCGUGACGCUGCUCAGAUGUAAUCAAGUGAACAGAUGAGCAGCGCUGAGACAGAGGGAUAUUGUAACCCUGACACGGUGACAUAAGGUUGUCAGGGGAACAGUCAACGCAGCCGAGAGGAGUUCAACUGUAGUCAAAGAAGCAGGGGCAGCCCUGUUUAUCUUUGAGCUAUCCCUCUUAAUCCGCUCGAUUACUAAAUGUAAAUUAAGGCUUCUGCCGUUGUGUUGAUGUUCAAAGUACGUCACAGAGAUGAACUCCUGACCUCUGGAGGAGGUUUGUGGGAAACCUUUACUUUCCCACAGAGCCCUCUACUCCCAGUCAACACGUGAAUAACGACACACCAGGUUUAUUCCUCACUGAGGGUCUUCAGUAAGAGAUGAGGCACCGACCUUCGUUCUGAUCUCAUGAUUUGGUUCACGUUGCCAUAGCAGCACAAGGUGAGAGGAGUGUGAAGAGUGAAACCAGCAGAUGGAGCCAGCAUUCAAGAAAAAGCAACCUACACAGUGGAUCCCCCCAUAGAUUCCUGCCAGUUAGGAGACUUAAGGGUCCUCACUCACGACAUUGGGAGGACAUCUGCACAGACUGGAUUGUGUUUGAGCCCUGCUUCAACAGAGAUGGAUUUAAAGGUAUUAACAAGCCAGCAUCCUUAACUUCAACGUGCGUCAUAGCAUCGCGCCUGAAAAGGGGAGAAAAUUAGCAUGUCCACCCGGGUGUUGUGUUUCCAUCACAGCCGAUGGGAGCUGGAGCCGAUAAAGAGAUGAUGUAAGUCGACGUUGGACUUUUAAAAAAAAAAAAAUGUUCUUGUGUUUUGGUCACCUGAUAAAUAUAAGUCCAAUAUUCACUCUUUUUGCUCUGUUUUUGGUCUCCACCAUCUCCUGAGGGAAAUAUCUGCUUCUGUAAGUGGUAAAUGGUCCAUAAUAUUCACCAGCUCAUUGCUAACCAUUUAUGUCUGCCAUUUUGCCAAAAAAGAUGCUAUGCGAGAGUGAGAUAGUAAAGUUUCAGAUGACCAGCUAAACAAUAAACGAAAGAAAAAUCAUGACAAAGUCCUUACUACAGGGGAGCUGCAGAUUUUGGUGAUAAUUCUCCGUAGGUUCUGAGUAUAUAGAUUAUAAACUGAUAUCCACUCACUUCGGCCUUACUUUCCUCCGCUUCUGUGUUUGUUGUAACACUUAAUGCAGGAAGGUCUGUGGUCACUACUGCAGUGACCCAUUUUUCUGUCAAAAGGCCAUGUAAUCAACAGGAAACAAUUACUGCCUCUCUCAGGCGCUCAAAGCACUCAAUACCAGCAUCUGCUCACUUCUAAUUACCUACGAGGUAAGAAGCUUCAUUUGGAAAGGAACUCACAGCAAUCAAUUCUUGCAUUAUACUUGGCUUGUUCGUCAGCAUCCUAAUGUGUCAGAUUGGAAGUGUCAGGUCCGUUCAGCUCAGCUCUGUUUGAUUAACUUCUCCUAUACCUAUAUGCCUUUAAUCCAUACAUAUUUUCUUGCACGUAUUGGUACUUUUUCUUCCUCUAAUUGAAUCCACUCUAAACUUCUGACCUGAAUGUAUAUUCUGGAUGCCUGUUUUACUCUUCCUCUUUGCUCCCAGGCUAGUGCUAACACGCUUCUGCCUUCACACCACACAGGCUGGCAGGGCUGCAAAACUGAUUUCAGUGAGCUCAGCCUCAGCAGUACCUUGUGUUUAAGGCUACAUAGCAAAUGCUAGCAUGGCUAGCAUGCAACAGAAAUUAAGUUAAACAUCAACCUGUUAAAAGCAUGGCAGUGCAGAGGUUAGCACUGUUAGCCUUAGCAGGAAAGGGAAGGUCCUGGGUUCAAAUUCAAGCUGUUUCGAGUUUGCAUGUUCUUUAUGUGCUUGCAUCGGUUUCCUCUGGGUUUCCCUCUACAUCUAGACACGUACAUUAGGUUAAUUCUCCGGUCAGUGCCCUUGACCAAAAGCACUGGCUUAGAUCUGGAGUUGGACCCCGGAGCACCAUACGUUAACAUGCAGAGAGCCACAUUCACUACGUUGUGGUGCUUUUGUUCCAAAAACACUUCAGACGGCAGAGGAGGAAGUACAGAAGGUCCACAACGGGAAGCAACACCGGCUUGAUGCUGUCCGCGGUGCUGACUGGCCGCAGAUGGCACUGAACGGACAGCUGCACUAAAAACCUCGCUGUUUAAUUGAUAACAUACCAGGGGGUCAACAGAUGUGUCAAGGAUUUUGUGCCUGAAGACCUGCUAAAAUAGAUUACCGUAUCAUUAUGUAACAGAGAAAAUGAGAACCCCUCUGCAGCAACUUCGCAAUGAUUCUGUGCAGCAAAUCUUCCUUUUGAGCUGAUGUGAAAUAAGAAAACCUUCACAGGUCACUGAACAACAAAGUAACAUCCGCAUUUGGCUUUGUUGCAGAGGUGCAAGACGUGGCAGAGCAUGUGGUGGGUUGUAGAAAGAUCAGUAGUCACAGUGUAUUUUUUCCUCUAAAAAACAAGUAUGGAUGCACUGCAUGACAUAGAGGAACACAGCUCACUGUUUACUGUGUAUGUGAAUGCUUGUACCUGGCUUCAAGCAAGCCUGCCAAAUAUAGGGGGGAAAAAAGUAUAGUAUGCUGUUGAAAAAAGUGCCAUGCAUGUGCACACCCCCCUGUCCAUGUUAUAUAAUGGGACUGUUGAUGGCUCACAUCAUUAUCGGCCCUGUCUAUGCAAGUCUAAAAAUACGAUUCAGGAGUCCAACUGUAUGUGGCAUUUAUGUAACGACAGAGGACAGGAGAGGGGUUUGGAUCACAAGCUGUUUCUAUGACAGUCCAGAGCCAAUGUGACAGAGAGGGCGGGCGAGGAGGAAAGAUCCAGCGUCGAGUAAAAAAGAGAAAAAGCGAGCAGGAGUGAGUAGGGGGGAGUGUUGAAAGAGAGAAAGAGAGAGACGGAGAGAAGUGUGGAGGAGGUGGAGGCACCUCAGCUCCAUUAUCAUGCACAUUUUAGAUAUUUCUGCAAAGAAACUUUCACUCAUCUGCAGCAUAUAUAUAUUUUUUUCAUCUUCCGCUAAUGCAACUCUCUGCAACAUAAACAGCCUCCUGCACUUUAAUUUUAUAACCCUUAAAGGUGUUGUCCCAAUAAAGUAUAUUGCAAACUAUAACGGCACACUCAAGUGAAGUGAAAGUGGAAUUAAAUUUAAUUUCCGCUUCCAAAUAAAGUUUAGUAAAUGAAAAGAAGAGGCCUGAAUAUUAGUCAGAGGAGAAUGGUAAAUCAGCAUCCACUUCCAUUAAUAUUUUGUCUUCAGAGGUCCAGAAAAAAAUAUAUCUCUGUAGAGAGCUACACGUUCUCACCCAUCUGUUUUUUUAUGAAGUUCAUUUAACUUAAUGGAUUAAUGAAUAAAUCAAUAGGCAAUUAAAUAAUAUUUAAA